rnacentral:rRNA from 1 species
CACGUAGGGUGCGAGCGUUGUCCGGAAUUAUUGGGCGUAAAGAGCUCGUAGGCGGUGUGUCGCGUCGGCCGUGAAAACCUGCAGCUUAACUGCGGGCUUGCGGUCGAUACGGGCAUCACUGGAGUUCGGCAGGGGAGACUGGAAUUCCUGGUGUAGCGGUGAAAUGCGCAGAUAUCAGGAGGAACACCGGUAGCGAAGGCGGUUCUCUGGGCAUUACCUGACGCUGAGGAGCGAAAGUGUGGGGAGCGAACAGG